rnacentral:lncRNA from 1 species
GCUACUCAGGAGGCUGAGGUGGGAGGAUCGCUUGAGCCUGGGAGGUCAAGGCUGCAGUGAGCCAAGAUCUUGCCACUGCACACCAGCCUGGGUGACAGAGCAAAACCCGGCCUCAAAAAGAGGAAAAAAAAAAAGAAAAAGAAAAGAAAAUGAUUUUUCACAUUUUGCACUCCUAACACUUUUUUAAGAAUUUAUUUCUGUAUAUAUUUAUAGAUCUUUAUAUCACCAAGUCUUAAAAGUUACUUUUUCAGAGAAAUAAUAAAACCUCCAUGUAAUCAUAGAUUCAUCAGUUAUCAAUACUCAAAGGUUCCUCUUUAAAACUAGUAUAUCAUGGCACUAAAAGCACAGAUUUUGGGGUCAAACAGCAUUGGGUUCCAGUCUUUGCUCUGCCAAUUACCAGCUAUGUGACUCUGGCCAGGUCGUUUCUCUCCUGAGGCCUUUGUGCCUUCAUUUAUAAGUCAGGCUAGUCACAGGUCUUUCCUAGGAUUGUUAUGAAGAGACACAAAACGGCAAGAAAAAGCACUGUACUGGUGCCAGGAAGAGUGUCCCAUGAAUGGUCACUAUGACAAUAUACACAAGUGGCCUCUUUCUCCACGCCCCCUCUGUUGAGGGCAGGCACACAGGGCAGGCGCAUGGGGCAGGGAGAAGCCAUGGAUCCAGGUGAGAGAGUGCAGUGACAAAGCAAGUGGAGUUAUUUCGUACUAAUGUUAAGUGGUUAGGAACAAACAAAACUGAGACUCUUGGGCCAGGGUGCUGCAGCGAGGUGCUUGUGGCCUUAGGUUGUUGGAGAGCAGAGGCAAGCCCGCUCCAGGACCUCCAUGCUCCGCCUCCUUUCUGCCUUGACCCCUCACCACUGCGAUAGCAAUGAGCUUUCCACUUUAAAGAGCUUGGGGCUUUGAUGGCAAACAGACUGAAUUUGAACCCUGGCUUGACCAGACCAUUUACUACAUUAGUCUGGGAAUGAUUCCCCUAAGCAAACAUCCCAGAGAGAAGAAAAGCAAAAGACACACAGCUAAAUGGACAACAGUUCCCAGCCUCGUCACAGGAGAACUCUUUGGAGCCAAGUGAACCCCUGGGUCUCCUUUUUCCCACCCCAUCACUUCAGCGCUUUGAGAUCAAGUUCGAACUCAGUCCCAACACAGAGUGUCACUGCAAAUUGUUUAUUAAAACACAAAGCAAUGGACAGUGAAAAACAUCCUGAUUUUGUA